CCAGCAGCCGCGGUAAUUCCAGCUCCAAUAGCGUAUAUUAAAGUUGUUGCAGUUAAAAAGCUCGUAGUUGGAUUUGUGGUGUGACUGAUCGGUCCGACCUUUGGUGGGUACUCGAUCUUGUCACGCCAUCCUUGAGUGGUUCGCUCUGGCAUUAAGUUGUCGGGGCGGCAGCCGCUCAUCGUUUACUGUGAGAAAAUUAGAGUGUUCAAAGCAGGCUUAUGCCGUUGAAUAUACUAGCAUGGAAUAAUAAGAUAGGACCUCGGUACUAUUUUGUUGGUUUGAGAACCAAGGUAAUGAUCAAUAGGGACAGUUGGGGGUAUUCGUAUUCAGUUGUCAGAGGUGAAAUUCUUAGAUUUACGGAAGACGAACUAC
rnacentral:rRNA from 1 species